rnacentral:rRNA from 1 species
GACGGAGGGUGCGAGCGUUAAUCGGAGUUACUGGGCGUAAAGCGCAUGUCGGCGGCCGAACAAGUCAGGUGUGAAAUCCUCGGGCUUAACCUGGGAAGUGCACUUGAUACUGUCCGGCUAGAGUUUGGCAGAGGAAAGUAGAAUUCCCGGUGUAGCGGUGAAAUGCGUAGAUAUCGGGAGGAAUACCAGUGGCGAAGGCGGCUUUCUGGGCCAAUACUGACGCUGAGGUGCGAAAGCGUGGGGAGCAAAUAGG